UCCCGCGUGGAAGAGAGAGAAUACCUUUAUAAAUUCAGUCGAAAUCGAAAAGUUUUUUGCGAUUUAUUAAUUAUUAUUAUGAUGAUAAUUAAUAAUCGCGUAAUUUAAUUCAUACUGGAUCAAUUGCCCUGGAAGAAUUUUCCGAUUACGAUGUUCUGUAAUUGGGAACAUGGAUGGAUCUAGUCGAGGUGGCAGUGGUGUGGAUAUGUUUUUGCGAAAUUAUAAGCUUGGUAAAACUCUAGGAAUUGGAGCCUUCGGUAAGGUGAAAAUUGCGGAGCAUGUAUUGACUGGCCAUAAAGUCGCUAUCAAGAUACUUAAUCGUCGCAAGAUCAAGAACAUGGAAAUGGAAGAGAAAGUCAGAAGAGAAAUUAAAAUUUUGAGGUUGUUCAUGCAUCCUCAUAUCAUACGACUUUAUGAAGUCAUAGAGACACCAAGUGAUAUUUAUGUUGUGAUGGAGUAUGUGAAGUCUGGAGAGUUAUUUGAUUAUAUUGUUGAGAAGGGCAGGCUACAGGAGGAUGAAGCCCGAGUCUUUUUUCAGCAGAUAAUUUCUGGUGUGGAGUACUGCCAUCGAAACAUGGUGGUUCAUAGAGAUCUUAAGCCUGAAAACUUACUUUUAGAUUCCAAGUGCAAUGUAAAAAUUGCUGAUUUUGGGUUGAGCAAUAUAAUGCGAGAUGGUCAUUUUCUGAAGACAAGCUGUGGAAGCCCAAAUUAUGCGGCCCCUGAGGUUAUUUCUGGAAAACUGUAUGCUGGGCCUGAAGUAGAUGUGUGGAGCUGCGGUGUUAUAUUGUAUGCACUUCUUUGUGGUACCCUUCCUUUUGAUGAUGAAAACAUUCCCAACCUUUUUAAGAAAAUAAAGGGUGGGAUAUACACACUUCCCAGUCAUUUGUCUCCAGGUGCAAGAGAUUUGAUCCCAAGGAUGCUAAUAGUUGAUCCAAUAAAGCGAAUUUCCAUUCCAGAUAUUCGUCAACAUCCAUGGUUUCAAGCCCAUCUUCAACGCUAUUUAGCUGUUCCCCCACCUGACACAAUGCAACAAGCCAAAAAAAUUGAUGAGGAGAUUCUUAAAGAAGUGGUUAAUAUGGGAUUUGAUCAAAGUCAAGUGGUUGAGUCUCUUCGCAACAGAAUACAAAAUGAGGCUACUGUUGCAUACUAUCUAUUGCUGGACAACCGGUUCCGUGUUUCUAGUGGCUAUCUUGGAGCUGAGUUUCAAGAGACUAUGGAUUCUGGUUUCAACCGAAUGCAUCCUGGUGAAGUUUCUUCACCCGUUGGGAAUCGCUUUCCAGCAUUCAUGGAUUAUCAAGGAAUGGGUUUAAGAGCACAGAUGCCAAUUGAAAGGAAAUGGUCUCUUGGACUACAGUCCCGUGCCCAUCCAAAGGAAAUAAUGACAGAAGUUCUCAAAGCUUUGCAAGAACUGAAUGUGUGCUGGAAGAAGAUUGGGCACUACAACAUGAAGUGCCGGUGGAUUCCUGGCAUCCCCGGUCAUCAUGAAGGCAUGAUUAAUAAUCAUGUACAUAAUAAUCAUUACUUCGGGGAGGAAUCCACCAUUAUUGAGAAUGACGUUGUCAAGUCACCAAAUGUAGUCAAGUUUGAAGUGCAGCUUUACAAAACUCGCGAGGAGAAAUACCUGCUCGAUCUUCAGAGGGUUCAAGGACCGCAGCUGCUCUUCCUGGAUCUUUGCGCUGCCUUUCUUGCGCAACUUCGGGUCCUAUAAAUCUAUAUGGUCAAGGUAUUCCGUGAAUCUGUGAGUGCAUGUGAAUAAAAACUUAAAAUGUACAUAAGUAGUUUUCAGUUGGGAUCUUUGUUAACUUCACCCACGGUUUUUAUACCAUUGCUUGUGUUUGAAGCUAGUCACCAACAGUUAAACUGGGCUCUACUCUCUGACUUAGUCACUGACUCACUAGUUUUGCCAGUUCAGGUAUUAAUGCAGUCAAAUCUGGGUCGAAUGUUAUGGUCCCUAGCGGGGAAAUUUGAAAUAUACUGCACAAGGUCAUGCAUAGAAUGAAUGUUGAGAAGAUGGAUUAUUUGUAUUUUGUUCUCUUUUAGAUUCUCUCAUUUUAAUACUAAAUCAUAGGGUUGGAUUCAAUUCAAGGCACUUGAGUGCAGCUCAAAUAAGUCAAGUUCGAGUUAAUUUGAAUAUUCAAGUUUGAGUUUGUUCAAAUCACAUUUAAAAUUAAAUUAUUUUAAGUCAAGUUUAGGUCUCAGCUCAUCGAUGGUGAGCUGACUCUUUUGGAUUCAAGAGGAUGAAUCCGACCCUCAUUAAACGAUGACUUUAAGAGAAUUAAUUGUAAUAGAACUUCUUAGUUGAAAGAAAGCUUGCACUUUUUUUUCUUAAUUAAUAUAUUGAAUUACAGC